rnacentral:rRNA from 1 species
GAUGAACGCUGGCGGCGUGCCUAAUACAUGCAAGUCGAGCGAACUGACAAGGAGCUUGCUCCUUUGACGUUAGCGGCGGACGGGUGAGUAACACGUGGGUAACCUACCUAUAAGACUGGAAUAACUCCGGGAAACCGGGGCUAAUGCCGGAUAACAUAUCGAACCGCAUGGUUCGAUAGUGAAAGACGGUCUUGCUGUCACUUAUAGAUGGACCCGCGCCGUAUUAGCUAGUUGGUGAGGUAACGGCUCACCAAGGCGACGAUACGUAGCCGACCUGAGAGGGUGAUCGGCCACACUGGAACUGAGACACGGUCCAGACUCCUACGGGAGGCAGCAGUAGGGAAUCUUCCGCAAUGGGCGAAAGCCUGACGGAGCAACGCCGCGUGAGUGAUGAAGGUCUUCGGAUCGUAAAGCUCUGUUGUUAGGGAAGAACAAAUGUGUAAGUAACUGUGCACAUCUUGACGGUACCUAACCAGAAAGCCACGGCUAACUACGUGCCAGCAGCCGCGGUAAUACGUAGGUGGCAAGCGUUAUCCGGAAUUAUUGGGCGUAAAGCGCGCGUAGGCGGUUUUUUAAGUCUGAUGUGAAAGCCCACGGCUCAACCGUGGAGGGUCAUUGGAAACUGGAAAACUUGAGUGCAGAAGAGGAAAGUGGAAUUCCAUGUGUAGCGGUGAAAUGCGCACAGAUAUGGAGGAACACCAGUGGCGAAGGCGGCUUUCUGGUCUGUAACUGACGCUGAUGUGCGAAAGCGUGGGGAUCAAACAGGAUUACAUACCCUGGUAGUCCUCGCCGUAAACGAUGAGUGCU